rnacentral:snRNA from 1 species
AAAAUUUUUCGAAAAAAAAUCUGUUCUUAUUUUUUUAGUCCCCUACCCAGGGACUACAUAUUAAAUUGAUUUUUGGAUCACGGAGCUGGAGCCGGGGCUUGCUCUGUCCACUCCACGCAUCGGCCUGGUAUUGCAGUGUCUCCAGGAACGGUGUGCUUCCC